AGCACUCCUACGGGAGGCAGCAGUGGGGAAUAUUGCACAAUGGGCGCAAGCCUGAUGCAGCCAUGCCGCGUGUAUGAAGAAGGCCUUCGGGUUGUAAAGUACUUUCAGCAGUGAGGAAGGUGGGUAUGUUAAUAGCAUAUUCAUUUGACGUUAGCUGCAGAAGAAGCACCGGCUAACUCCGUGCCAGCAGCCGCGGUAAUACGGAGGGUGCGAGCGUUAAUCGGAAUUACUGGGCGUAAAGCGCAUGCAGGUGGUUUGUUAAGUCAGAUGUGAAAGCCCGGGGCUCAACCUCGGAAUUGCAUUUGAAACUGGCAAACUAGAGUACUGUAGAGGGGGUAGAAUUUCAGGUGUAGCGGUGAAAAUGCGUAGAGAUCUGAAGGAAUACCGGUGGCGAAGGCGGCCCCCUGGACAGAUACUGACACUCAGAUGCGAAAGCGUGGGGAGCAAACAGGAUUACAUACCCUGGUAG
rnacentral:rRNA from 1 species